rnacentral:rRNA from 1 species
AUACAGAGGGUGCGAGCGUUAUUCGGAAUCACUGGGCGUAAAGGACGCGUAGGCGGGUUGGCAAGUCAGAUGUGAAAUCCUACAGCUUAACUGUAGAACUGCAUUUGAAACUGCUAACCUAGAGUAUGGGAGGGGGAGAUGGAAUUAGUGGUGUAGGGGUAAAAUCCGUAGAUAUCACUAGGAAUACCGAAAGCGAAGGCGAUCUCCUGGAACAUAACUGACGCUAAGGCGUGAAAGCGUGGGGAGCAAACAGGAUUAGAAACCCUAGUAGUCC